GCCUUGUUAGCUUAGUUGGUAGUGCGUCUGCCUUGUAAGCGCUAGGCCGUGGGUUCGAUUCCCGCCCGGGGCG
rnacentral:tRNA from 1 species